UCUCCGUUGGUGAACCAGCGGAGGGAUCAUUACUGGAAUCGCAAGAUCCCACAACCCCUGUGAACCUACCGAAACGUUGCCUCGGCGGGCGCCCGGCCCCGCGCCGGGCGCUGAGCCCGCCGGCCGCCCCCUACUCCUGUCUCUGCAGCGUGGCAUCCCAGAGUCCCAGAAAACAAGUAAAAACUUUCAACAACGGAUCUCUUGGCUCUA
rnacentral:misc_RNA from 1 species